rnacentral:rRNA from 1 species
GACGAACGCUGGCGGCGUGCCUAAUACAUGCAAGUAGGACGCAGUUGCGAACGGGUGAGUAACGCGUAGGUAACUGCCUAUUAGAGGGGGAUAACUAUUGGAAACGAUAGCUAAUACCGCAUACUAGUAGAUGGACCUGCGUUGUAUUAGCUAGUAGGUAGGGUAAUGGCCUAACUAGGCGAAGAUACAUAGCCGAACUGAGAGGGUGAUCGGGCACACUGGGACUGAGACACGGCACAGACUCAUACGGGAGGCAGCAGUAGGGAAUCUGCGGCAAGUGGGGGAACCGUGACCGAGGAACGCCGCGUGAGGGAAUAAGGUUUUCGGAUCGUAAAGGUCUGUUGUUAAGGAAGCGGUACUUAACCAGAAAGGGACGGCUAACUACGGGCCAGCAGCCGCGGUAAUAC